UAAACCAGCUUUCUUAAAACCAUUUUUAUUCUGCCUCUCAGCAACACUUCAUUUGAUUUGGAUAAAAGAUCAGGAACUCGAACACAAACAAACAGAAAACAAGGUGUGUAGAACAGAAAUCAAGAUCCAUAUACUGGAAUGAUGCUGGGAUCUCUGUGUGCUGAGAAUUGGUAUUCCUGGUUUAUGUCCUCCUGGGACAAGUGCUGGCUCAUGACAGAUGUCUGGGUGAAAUGACAGGUGGUCCACCCGUGUUUAUUUUUGUGAGGGUCUAGGGUUUUUAACAAAUGCCUGGGAUCCACAAUCAUCUAAGAACAAUGCUUUGUAUUUGUGUAACACUUAGAAUUUUCCCUCUGGGGCAAUCGUAUCUAUCAUGGUAAUUAAUUAUCAUACUGACCACUCCAAGAUAAGUAGGCAGGUGUUCUUAUCUCUAUUUUCCAGAUGAAGAAAUCUGAGGCACAGAAGGCUAAGAAACUUGCCUAAAGCCUGCUUGAAUAGAUAGAUAGUGGCAAAGAAGGUAUUGAAACUCAGGUGUUUUGAUUUAGACACUUGUUCUUUCACUUAGAAUAAGCUGCCUUUUCUUUUGCUUAGGAAGGUUAUUUUCAUGAUUUCUAGUACUAGUUUUUCAAGUUAUUUUUAACAUAUACCCCCUUAUCACCUUUUGUAUUAACCACUUAAUAUUUUCUUUGAGUCUACUUCUUUUUGUAAGUAAAUGUAUUUGACAAGAAAAUUAUACUCCUAAGUGGAGACUCGUAAAUGGAAAGCAAUAAAAUACAUAGACUGAAAAUAAAACCCAUUAAGUUAUUAAAUUUUGUCUAAACAGAAGACUUUGAACCUGAGGUCUGUUCUUUAUUAAGAAGGGAAACAAGCCAAAGAAUCAGAAAGGUGUUGAGGACCCAUGAGCACUAAACAGAGACAUUUUCUGAAAUGUAAUCAGGAUUGAAAAAGAAAAAUGCAAAUGUUCUUUGUGAUUUAGUGACACUUAAUCUUGUGGCUGCAUAUGACCUAAAAGUUAUCUUUGUGCACCACCAGGGGUAUAUCUUGCAUACGGGGUUAGCGUGUUCCGGCAGGCAGGAAAAUGGUGGCAUUGUUAAACCAGUAGUCACACCUACAGGGUUUACAUUUGACAGAAAAAUAAAUACAUUGGGUGGCAUUUCCAGGUGGCAUCCAGGAAAAUCAAAGAUCUUGCCUGAGACUUGCUCAAGAGAGAGAGAUUGAAGUAAGUUCAUUAAACACAGGCAGUAUAUUCCCAAAACUGGGAUGGGAGGGAUGCCCAUGGACCUAUGAUGGCCACUAAGUACAUUCUCAGAGUCUGAGUCUGUCUGAGGUGACAAAUGAGGUUGUGGUCAAGUUGACCCAUGGGGGCUGCAAGCAAGGGGCUGGUGGGAGGGAGUCAGGCGAGACUAAGGCGAAAGAGCAGAAAGCUCCUUCAUCCCCAUCUUUGAUGAUGGAAUGGACACAACGGCUUUUGAUAUACUGAAACAGUGAGGCUUGAUUUUCUUUAAAAAAAAAAAAAUCAAUGGCUUCAGCUGAUCUGGCUUUGCUGCCUGGGUUUCCUAAAUUUUGGACUUUUUUGUUGUUGUUGCCUGCUGUUCUUUCUGGUUUUAGCUCAUUUGCCAGGGACCUGCCUCUGGAGAGUCCUGGAGGAAAAGAUCUCACAGUCUGAAGUCAAGGAUCCAUUCCUCAAAAACUCCUCUGGGGUGUGUGUGGAUGAGGUCCAUCCUCCAUGCUCGUGGCUGACUGCUGGCUGUUCAGGCUCU
ensembl:lncRNA